rnacentral:rRNA from 1 species
UCUAUACAUGCAGUCGAGCGAAUGGAUUAAGAGCUUGCUCUUAUGAAGUUAGCGGCGGACGGGUGAGUAACACGUGGGUAACCUACCCAUAAGACUGGGAUAACUCCGGGAAACCGGGGCUAAUACCGGAUAAUAUUUUGAACUGCAUAGUUCGAAAUUGAAAGGCGGCUUCGGCUGUCACUUAUGGAUGGACCCGCGUCGCAUUAGCUAGUUGGUGAGGUAACGGCUCACCAAGGCGACGAUGCGUAGCCGACCUGAGAGGGUGAUCGGCCACACUGGGACUGAGACACGGCCCAGACUCCUACGGGAGGCAGCAGUAGGGAAUCUUCCGCAAUGGACGAAAGUCUGACGGAGCAACGCCGCGUGAGUGAUGAAGGCUUUCGGGUCGUAAAACUCUGUUGUUAGGGAAGAACAAGUGCUAGUUGAAUAAGCUGGCACCUUGACGGUACCUAACCAGAAAGCCACGGCUAACUACGUGCCAGCAGCCGCGGUAAUACGUAGGUGGCAAGCGUUAUCCGGAAUUAUUGGGCGUAAAGCGCGCGCAGGUGGUUUCUUAAGUCUGAUGUGAAAGCCCACGGCUCAACCGUGGAGGGUCAUUGGAAACUGGGAGACUUGAGUGCAGAAGAGGA